rnacentral:lncRNA from 1 species
UUCUUCUUCUUCUUCUUCUUCUUUUUCUUCUUCUCCUCCUCCUUCUUCUUCUUUUUUUUUUUUUUGUAAAGCCAAGUAGCUUUAAGAUAAUAAAAUGGUUGUUUAUUGGAUGAGGGAAUAAUGAUACACUCCACAAAUACCUAUAUCAGGAAGCCAUUUUUUUUUAAUUUCAGGAAAUGUAAGAAACCAUCAUUUCAGGUUAUGAAAGCGUGAUUGUGCAUCUUUCCAGGCAGAUCUUUACUAAAUGCAGAGUCUGUCUCACUGUUUCCCAUUUGACACAGUUAAAAGAUGGGGGCCUAGUGGGAGGCCAGGCCUAAGUCUCAGUGUCCUGCAUGCCUGCCCUACGGCCCAGGGUUACCCUGCCCUUUUGACACCCUGCCUCUCUGCUACCUGGGAGCCUCUGUGUGGUUCUCCUGUGCUCAUAAAAGCUAGCCAGUGCUCACCAGCUCACCUAUCACCAGAAUGCCAGGACUAAGCCAUCCUAAAGCACAAGGACUUGUGUGUCUCUGUCAACUGCAGAGAGAAGAGGAUUUUUGCUUCUCUUAUCAAAGAGAAAAAUCAACCAACCAACCUACCCGAAGCAGGUGACCCAGCCUAAGGGCUCUACCGCGGGUGACCCAGCCGACCUCAGGUCGGGUUCCACACUGCCACAACUUUACCCAAAGUUGCUCCCUAUUGGAACCUGCCACUUGCCAUUGGAGGGUCAUGGGGGGGUGGGGGGAGAGGAGACUGGAUUACUCGAAGCAAAAUGUGAACCCUGAAGCGAACACAGCCUUCCACCUGGCCCUCCCCGUCCGAGGUUUGAUUCCGUGAUUUUGGUGCUUUCUGUGUCUGCCCUGCAUAGCCAAGGCACAUUGAUCUCUGCGGUUUGCUUUUGUACUGGCAAGGCGGAAUAUUUUUAUUACCUUUUCUAUUACGUAUCGUAUGAGCUUUUGUUGUUUGCCUAGAGGGUUUGUCUCUUACAGCAAGUUUGGAGCUAUUUAUUAUUGCUUGGUAUUUGUGCUCUGCUUUUAAGAAUGGGCACUUGGUUUUAUUUUUGUUUGUUUGUUUUUUUGUUGUUUUUUAAUUAUGGAUAAAAUGUUGAGAUGACAAAAGGUCAUUUCAAUAUGGCUUAGUAAAAAUAUUUAUUGUUUCUUCUCUGUACAAGAUUUUGGGCCUCUUUUUUCCCCCUUAAUGUCACAAUGUUGAGUUCAGCAUGUGUCUGCCAUUUCAUUUGUUCAAAACCAAGUUUGUUCUGGUUUCAAGUUAUGAAAAUAAAUUGGGACAUUUAACUUG